rnacentral:rRNA from 1 species
GAGUUUGAUCGUGGCUCAGAACGAACGCUGGCGGCAGGCCUAACACAUGCAAGUCGAACGUGAAGCCACCUUCGGGUGGUGGAAAGUGGCAGACGGGUGAGUAACGCGUGGGAACGUGCCCUUUGGUACGGAACAACUCCGGGAAACUGGAGCUAAUACCGUAUGUGCCCUCCGGGGGAAAGAUUUAUCGCCAAAGGAUCGGCCCGCGUCGGAUUAGCUAGUUGGUAGGGUAAUGGCCUACCAAGGCGACGAUCCGUAGCUGGUCUGAGAGGAUGAUCAGCCACACUGGGACUGAGACACGGCCCAGACUCCUACGGGAGGCAGCAGUGGGGAAUAUUGGACAAUGGGCGCAAGCCUGAUCCAGCCAUGCCGCGUGAGUGAUGAAGGCCCUAGGGUUGUAAAGCUCUUUCAGCGGGGACGAUAAUGACGGUACCCGCAGAAGAAGCCCCGGCUAACUUCGUGCCAGCCGCCGCCGU